rnacentral:rRNA from 1 species
AGUUUGAUCAUGGCUCAGAUUGAACGCUGGCGGAAUGCUUUACACAUGCAAGUCGAACGGUAGAGGGGGCAACCCUUGAGAGUGGCGAACGGGUGAGUAAUAUAUCGGAACGUGCCCAGUCGUGGGGGAUAACGUAGCGAAAGUUACGCUAAUACCGCAUACGAUCUAAGGAUGAAAGCGGGGGAUCGCAAGACCUCGCGCGAUUGGAGCGGCCGAUAUCAGAUUAGGUAGUUGGUGGGGUAAAGGCUCACCAAGCCAACGAUCUGUAGCUGGUCUGAGAGGACGACCAGCCACACUGGAACUGAGACACGGUCCAGACUCCUACGGGAGGCAGCAGUGGGGAAUUUUGGACAAUGGACGCAAGUCUGAUCCAGCCAUUCCGCGUGCAGGAUGAAGGCCCUCGGGUUGUAAACUGCUUUUGUACGGAACGAAAAGGUUUCUCUUAAUACGAGGAGCUCAUGACGGUACCGUAAGAAUAAGCACCGGCUAACUACGUG